rnacentral:lncRNA from 1 species
AGCAACCGUCAUCCACGAGGACGUAUCUCAGUGGGGAAAUGGCAGGAAAAGAUUGAUACUUUCUGCUUAAGGGGUAGACUCUACACGGAGAGAUCGGACACACCCAUAUCUGCUUAAGGAAAGAAGACCCAAGCUGGCAAGAUGCCAACAAUUGGGGAGUAACAUUACUGGGGAUACCCACUCGACUGAGGAGUCACUCGUUGGGAAAAC